rnacentral:ribozyme from 1 species
AGCGGAUGGAGAAACUACAGGUACAGGUACAGUAACGAGACGCGUGCUGGUAUCGGCGGUGAUGCAAUU